UGCACGAGAAAAAUAAGCUUUGAUUUGUUUUCUUUGUUUUCUCUGUGCCUUCUGUUAAUCAGAAAGAGCCUGCCUCUCAUUAUCAAUGGAAAGUUUUACCGCGUGGUUAACCAAAGAGGAAGAAGCUGAAUUGCAGCUUGUGGAGCAGAUGCAUCAGCAACAGCAUGCCCCCAGCUACAGCCUCAAAAGCCUUUGCCUUUUUUCAAUUAAUUUGCUAAUGUGGGGAUGAGGGUACGCUUGUGUUUUUGCAGGAGAUGAACAAACUCUAUGGGUGCCCUUAAGGUGUGUACGACCAUGGAAUAGGAGACUGGAGGGACCCAUGCAACCCAACUGUGGGCCUGGUUCCCCCAGUACGAGCUGAAUGCAAAGACAGAACGAACCAGCAAUUGAAGCCUGCACAUUUUGCAAUUACCUUUCUCAAUUAAUUUAAAAACACAAAGGGAGAGAUGUUGGAGACCGCAAGAAUGAGCGUUGUGACCAACUCAGUAUACCACUGGAGGCUAUGUGAGUAAAGAGCAAACUGUUCUUACAGGUUGUUGGCAAACUGACAAACGGUGUCUGCCACCCACAAGGAAUGCUGAGGGCAGUCACGCCCCAAGCACAAGUGUUGCUUGUGAUUAGGCACAUCUGAAGCCUGUUAGCAAUAAUGUGAACCUGUGAUCAAUUAAGCAGCUGACCAAUCGUUACCUCCUCCUCCCUGCUCUUUCUACUCAAUAAAUAAAAGGGCUGUAGAAGCUCAGGGUGGCUGCCUUUGCUCACUAGAAGCAGGGAUCCCUCUUCUUCCCCUAGCCCCUUUCUUUAAACUGUUUCUUUUAAGUUUUCAUUUCUGCAUUUGUCUGCCUUCAUUCAGUCCCGUGGUAACCAUGGCAAACCGCAGUAGAUGUUGUGUUAGCAGGGAGUAAGGAGGCUAGUCAGCACAGCAGUCAGAGCUCACAUCACAUUUAUGGCACAAAACAGCAACACCACCUACCCCUCCCAUUGCCUUCUUUAGAGUAAGUUCUCUGUUCUGAAGCCUUGGCACAGGCUGACAUCCUUCUUACAUAUUUUACUGAAUUGCAGACACUGAGACUGAAGUCAGGAAGGCAGGCCAUUGGGAAGGAAAGAUGGUGAAGUGGGGAAGGAACAGGACACAUUGGAGCACAUAAGAGUGAGCUGGAACACAUGCAGGUCUCUUGUCAGCUCCAGCUCCCAACAUCAGUGCUAUUUCUGGCUAGAUGUGAAACUGGUGCCCUUUCCUGUGAAGCUAACCACAGCACUGGCCCAAGAGUCACAGAAGAUAAAGGAAGAGACCCAAGAGGAGUUGGACGAGCAAGUCCUGCUGCUGCUGCAGACGCUGCACACACUGGUCUAGGAUUUUGAGAAACUGAAGGAGGAGAUCCAGCUGUUGCUGGAGUGACUGUCAGCUGGCCCUGCUCCACUUAGACAAGGUGAGCCAGCCCAUCAGAAACAAUGUGCCUGAUUUGCAAUGGCACCCGAUGUCUUGCAUUGUAAUUGCAUUGACCUUCCCAGUAUAAAAGGAUAUGACUGUUGCUGCUUCUCUUCCACUUUUCAAAUGUCAUCUAAAGUAUCUCUUGCAGCCCACAGGAAUUUGGAAUUAUGCUAAAAAGUGGAUUCUGAGAAUCAUGUUUGUAACUUAAAUGAGCUUACACAGUGCAUAUCACCUUGCAUAUGUCAAAAUAAAAAAUGAAAUAAAAAUCGAUACAAUCUCUUCUUCUCCCUGGAGUAAAGACAGUAUCUUUUUUCUGAAUACUAUGUGUUCAUCAGUCUUCUCAUCACAGCUUCAGUGCCUGUAUCAGAUAACAUCUUAGGAAGUCUCAUCCAGGCUACCCUUCCUCCAGACACACUGGAUAUGAUCUUAAUUGCUAGAAUAUUAAGAGAAGAUAAUAAGAUAAGAAGGGAAGCAGCAACCAUAUGAUGUGAUAAUUGUGAGUCUGGGACCUGGAAGCUUUACAAAAGAUAUUGGGUAAUAAAGACUUGGAGACUUACAUGUUUAACUUCCUUAUCCAGAGUGAUCUGAUGGGCAUAUUUAUUAUGAUGAUGGUAAAGAUAUUAAGUUCAAAUUCAACCCCCAUCUGAGAGGACUGGAAGACUGUUUAAGUUGUCAGGGUAGCCUGACAAUGAACCAGGGCUGCAUACAAACCAUUAGUGAAAACUGCAAAGAUACAUGUAACACACAGGCAAAUAUACAAAGAGAACCUUGUAUGGAGUGUAAAAGAAGCAUACGCCUACAAACUGCUGGAGGCUUUGAAAGCAAUUUACCGAGAAAGCUUUUUACAGUGGCCCACUUUGGAGCCAUCGAUAAUUAACUAAACAAAUAUUUCAGAGUGUAUCCAACUGGUUUCAGCCAAUUUCCUUAGGGAGUUGUGAUACUUUAAAUUCCAUAUAAUGAUACUGUUGGAUCAGUGUCUUCAGCUGCAGUAUGUAAGCACACAGGACUUGAUUCAUGAUCAUAUGGGUAAUAAUUUGAGAUCAAUAUUUUAAAUAAUGUAAUAGAAAACCAGCAAGGAAUCUCUCACAAGUAAUAAAUAGCGCUUGAGCCUUAGUUGUGGGUAUAUGGAGUCAUUAUGAAUUCUGCCAAGUAUAUAGAUUUAUGCUUAUACAAAUUACUGAGUGAUAAAAGACAACAUUUCUCAUAAUAGCAAUAUGGUUUCAUAACCUAUCCAAGAGCAUAGGUUUCUUCAUGUAGGACACCAAGAAACCAAAGCAUUAUUCUAACCACUUAUUCAUAAUAGGUCUGACUUUAGCAGCUGAUAUUUCUGCCUUGCAGAGACUCUGUUUUUCCCAGUCUUGAGAUGAGAUGUGAAGCUUGUCUUAUUCACACUGCGUGGCAUAUGGAAAGAAGCUCAGGCUUUAGAGGCAGAAAUACAUCUGCUCGAGGGAUCUGCUUAGUGCUAGUUUCUGCUUCUGUAAAAUGCGAAU
rnacentral:lncRNA from 10 species